rnacentral:rRNA from 1 species
AACCUGGUUGAUCCUGCCAGUAGUCAUAUGCUUGUCUACAAAGAUUAUGCCAUGACAUGUACUAAGUAACAAACUUUUACCAACAGUGAAACUGCGAAUGGCUACAUUAGAUCAGUUAUGGUUCCUUAGAUCGUAACAAUCCUACUUGGAUAAACUGUGGUAAUUCUAGAGACUAAUAACAUGAAAGCACGACUACCGACCUUUAGGGGAAAGAGAGUUUUUUAAUUAACAAAAAAACCAAUCGGACCUUCGGGUCGUCCUAUUGGUGACUCUGAAUAAACUUUGUUCUGAUCGACAUGGCCUUGAGACCCAGACGACGUAUUCUUUAAAAUGUUCUGGCCCUAUAAAGUUCUCGAUGUUAGUUGACAUGACUAUCAUGCUUGUAACGGGUAAACGGGGAAUCAGGGUUCGAUUCCGGAGAGGGAGACAUGAGAAAACGGCUACCACAUUCCAAGGAAAGGCAGCAGGCGCGCCAAUAACCCCACUCCUGACACGGGGAGGUA